rnacentral:misc_RNA from 1 species
GAUGAAGAACGUAGCGAAAUGCGAUACUUGGUGUGAAUUGCAGAAUCCCGUGAACCAUCGAGUCUUUGAACGCAAGUUGCGCCUCAAGCCAUUAGGUUGAGGGCACGUCUGCCUGGGCGUCACAUAUCGUUGCCUGAUGCCAGUUUCCUCGUGAUGGGUGACUGUGCAGGGCGAAUGAUGGCUUCCCGUGAGCAUUGUUGCCUCAUGGUUGGUUGAAAAUUGAGUCCUUGGUAGGGAGCGCCGUGAUAGAUGGUGGUUGAGUGACGAACGAGACCCAAUCAUGUGAGACCCCUACCGAAUUUGGCCUUCAUGACCCCCAUGCGUCUUUGGAACGCUCAUGACGAGACCUCAGGUCAGGCGGGGCUACCCGCUGAGUUUAAGCAUAUCAAUAAGCGGAGGA